rnacentral:rRNA from 1 species
UACGUAGGUGGCAAGCGUUGUCCGGAAUUACUGGGUGUAAAGGGAGCGCAGGCGGGGACUUAAGUUGGAUGUGAAAUGCCGCAGCUUAACUGCGGAGCUGCAUCCAAAACUGGGACUCUUGAGUGAAGUAGAGGUAGGUGGAAUUCCUGGUGUAGCGGUGAAAUGCGCAGAUAUCAGGAGGAACACCAAUGGCGAAGGCAGCUCGCUGGGACGUGACUGACGCUGAGACGCGAAAGCGUGGGGAGCAAACAGG